rnacentral:rRNA from 1 species
AGGGAUCAUUACCGAGUUUACAACUCCCAAACCCAAUGUGAACCAUACCAAACUGUUGCCUCGGCGGGGUCACGCCCCGGGUGCGUCGCAGCCCCGGAACCAGGCGCCCGCCGGAGGGACCAACCAAACUCUUUCUGUAGUCCCCUCGCGGACGUUAUUUCUUACAGCUCUGAGCAAAAAUUCAAAAUGAAUCAAAACUUUCAACAACGGAUCUCUUGGUUCUGGCAUCGAUGAAGAACGCAGCGAAAUGCGAUAAGUAAUGUGAAUUGCAGAAUUCAGUGAAUCAUCGAAUCUUUGAACGCACAUUGCGCCCGCCAGUAUUCUGGCGGGCAUGCCUGUCCGAGCGUCAUUUCAACCCUCGAACCCCUCCGGGGGGUCGGCGUUGGGGAUCGGGAACCCCUAAGACGGGAUCCCGGCCCCGAAAUACAGUGGCGGUCUCGCCGCAGCCUCUCAUGCGCAGUAGUUUGCACAACUCGCACCGGGAGCGCGGCGCGUCCACGUCCGUAAAACACCCAACUUCUGAAAUGUUGACCUCGGAUCAGGUAGGAAUACCCGCUGAACUUAA